UUACAAAGUAAAUGAAACCGUCAAUGUUGUCACAGCAAAAACAACAGAAAUUGGGCAAAGGACGUGGGGAAUUAUGAGAGGUGUAAUGGCAAUGGCUUCACAGAAGGUUGAAGAGUACGCCAAAGAUGGCAUGAACUGGAAGAAUGAUGGCUGGCAACGGAACGAGAAUGAGAAAAAUGGAUAUUAUCAAGAAUUUGAGCAUGAUAACAAAGGAUGGAAUUCUUCUUCUGG
rnacentral:misc_RNA from 1 species